AGCGAACGCUGGCGGCAGGCUUAACACAUGCAAGUCGAACGGGCACUUCGGUGUCAGUGGCAGACGGGUGAGUAACACGUGGGAACGUACCUUUUGGUUCGGAACAACGGGGGGAAACUUCAGCUAAUACCGGAUAAGCCCUUCGGGGGAAAGAUUUAUCGCCAUUGGAUGGGCCCGCGUCGGAUUAGCUAGUUGGUGGGGUAAUGGGCUACCAAGGCGACGAUCCGUAGCUGGUCUGAGAGGAUGAUCAGCCACACUGGGACUGAGACACGGCCCAGACUCCUACGGGAGGCAGCAGUGGGGAAUAUUGGACAAUGGGCGCAAGCCUGAUCCAGCCAUGCCGCGUGAGUGACGAAGGUCUUCGGAUUGUAAAGCUCUUUUGGCGGGGACGAUAAUGACGGUACCCGCAGAAUAAGCUCCGGCUAACUUCGUGCCAGCCGCCGCCGUAA
rnacentral:rRNA from 1 species